rnacentral:rRNA from 1 species
GAGUUUGAUCGUGGCUCAGAACGAACGUUAGCGGCGCGCCUAAUACAUGCAAGUCGUGCGAGAAAGGGCUUCGGCCCCAGUAAAGCGGCGCACGGGUGAGUAACACGUAGGUAAUCUCCCCUCGAGUGGUGGAUAACUCUCCGAAAGGAGAGCGUAAUACAGCAAUGGAGACCACGACCUCGCUGAGGUUGCGGCCAAAGCAAGGCCGACUACAUGUAAGCUUGCGCUUGAGGAUGAGCCUGCGGCCCAGUCAGCUAGUUGGUAGGGUAAUGGGCCUACCAAGGCUUAGACGGGUAGCUGGUCUGAGA